UAUGCUUUCUGGUAGUUCUGUAGUCUGUGUUUAAAGAUUUAAAAGUCUGUUACCGGUUUGGCAGUUAUAAUAUGUUAUAAUCUAAAAUGAUUAAUAAUAAAUAAAUCUGUAGGUGUAGAUAUACUACAGGAUAGUAACUGUUGGAGGUGAGCUGUGUGAAGAAGAGUGUCUUGAGUGAUCAGUGUCAGUAAACUGUUUAGUUACAGUUACCAGUGAAAUAAAAUACAGGAUCCAGAGGGAGCUUUAAUAGGAUUGGUGUGGAGUGGAUUGUUUAUAAUGAUGACAGUGAUAAUGGUUAUGAUGGUAUAGAAUUUAUAAUGGUAUAGAAAUCAGAUAAAUAAUUACAGUAAUGGUCCAGUAGAGGGCAGAGUUUCUCUAAAACUGUAGAAGAACUGUAACAGAUGGUUUGUGUCACUGAGCUGCUGUAAGAAUGGAAGUGAGGGAAGCUGAAGUGAAUUAUAUGAACAUUUAAACACUAGAGCAACACUGAGCUGCAGCACCACUGUUCAGUUAUGACUCGUCUUCAUCACUGGUGGCUUCCUUUUCUGAUUUUAGCAGGUUCCACUUCUGGUGAGGGAAUAGAACCAAGUUCUUCCACUGUUAAUGUCCUACAGGGAGGUUCUGUUACCCUGUCCUGCAAGUACAUUGGAUCUGCUGGUGUUAACGAGCUGCUGUGGUACCGUCAGUAUUCCAGAUUCAGACCUGAGUUCCUGAUCUUGGUCAAUGAAGCUAACUAUGAGAUUAAAGCUGACCCUCCAGUUUAUGGAGUUUCUGCAAAAGUAAACAAAGAGAAAAACAGUGUGGAUCUGAAGAUCUCCUCUACUGCUGUAUCAGAUUCUGCUCUCUACUACUGUGCUCUGAGGCCCACAGUGACAGGAAACCCACCAAACUCUGAACUAAAACUCUGACUUGCAGACUUCAGAAGAGUGUAUACACAUAUACACACAUACAUUUCUUCCAAAUUCCAAAUUAAAAUAUUGUAAUUUAGAGCAUUAAUUUGCAGAAAAUGAGAAAUGGUCAAAUUAACAAAAAAAGAUGCAGUGCUUUUAAACCUUAAAUAAUGUAAAAAAAAAAAAAAAAAAAAAAAAAAAACUAGUUCUUAAUCAUUUAGAAACAACAACAAUACAAAAGUUUUAUCUAAGGAAGAGUUCAAAAUCAAGAAUUUUUAGUUUACACACAGAGGUGUAAUGAUGGUAAUGUGCCACACUAGGGCAGGUCUAAUUGGGAUUUGCUGAAUAAAUGCAGGUUCUGCAUUUCA
rnacentral:lncRNA from 1 species